rnacentral:rRNA from 1 species
AACGAACGCUGGCGGCGUGCUUAACACAUGCAAGUCGAACGCGAAGGGGAUCUUCGGAUCCCCCUAGAGUGGCGCACGGGUGAGUAACGCGUAGAUAAUCUACCUCUAUAUUUGGGAUAACAGCUCGAAAGGGCUGCUAAUACCGGAUACACUUAUUUGAACGCGAGUUUGAGUGAGGAAAGGUGACCUCUCCAUGGAAGUUACUGUAUAGAGAUGAGUCUGCGUACCAUUAGCUAGUAGGUAGGGUAAAGGCCUACCUAGGCAACGAUGGUUAGCGGGUCUGAGAGGAUGAUCCGCCACACUGGAACUGGAACACGGACCAGACUCCUACGGGAGGCAG